rnacentral:lncRNA from 1 species
UUGCUCAAAGCUCAUCAGCACAUCCUUUUGGAUGCACUUCCCCAUGGACCUUCCAUCACAGGGCUUUGCUUCACCUCCCCGCACCGUCUGCCUCCCCAGUCUUGCUGCCACCUGCCAGACUCACUUUGAAGCAACAGAAGCAAGUUGUGUUGGAGUUGCUGGGCCAGGACCAGCUCAAGGUUACGCUCUUCUCUAAGAACCAUGUGUAAAAGAAGCAAAGAAUUAGACUGAGAAGGGCAAGAGGCGAGAUGCUGGGAGACCUAACCCAAGCAAACCCCUCAUUGUUUGGUAGAGGAAAUUAAGUCCAAGAGGUCAUAUUAGGGGGUCACAUAAAAUGCCUUCUACCAACCAGUCCAGCAUUCUUUAACUCUGUCAUUCUGCUGGUUGCGGCAUGAUUCAUUGAUUGGAGGGUAAAGAAAAAUCCUCACUGUGUUCAGAAGAAUUUGAAGAGAAUAAACCUUUCCCCACUGUUCAGUGAACUUGCUGAUUCCUCUGGAACAGAGACAGCCUUAGAGGGCUGUGACGUGAGAGCCAUGGAAACAGACUUCGUCCAGCUGUUCGCAGAGCGACCGCGUGGUGGCACUGUGGCCAGCAGGCAGAGUCCAUCUGUUCAUACCUGAGGUUUCCAGGAGGUCUUGUCUCAUAGCAACAAGAUAGUGGAAAUCGCUGAGCACCAGAAGCAGCUAUGGACUAAGGAAUCAGUGUGUUCAGAACACCAAUCAUCUGGAGUUCUCUUGCGGUGCAGCGGGUUAAGGAUCCCGCAUUGUCAUUGCAGCAGCUUGGGUCACUGCUAUGGUUCCUUGGCCCAGGAACUUCCACAUGCUGUGGGUGUGACCAAAACCAAAACAAAACAUAAAGCAUCUGAACAUCAGAAAAAAUUCCAAAUAACAAACACCCUUUAGAGGCAUGAAAUCACUAGUCAAAAUAUUAUUUUAAACCCAUUUUACAAAUGGUAGGAUUUUCCCAAAACCCCAACAUGUCACCAAACUCACAGUUGUGCCAUCCACACUUACCAGGGCCUCUCUUUUCUCCAUUUAUUAUUUGACUCUGAGAAUUCAUGGACUUUCCAUAGCAGUGUAAUUUAGACUUUGCCUAAAGGUUCCUGUGUUCUGGUAAACAGACAGUUACGUUUAUUUUAGGUUAAAUUCAUUUUUGGCCCAUCUCAUUUCCAUCAGACCCUCUAAUUUUUGAGACCCUUUAAUCUGGGCCAUUCUGAACUUUUUGCUCAGCUGAACACUUAUGUUCAAAAGCUCUGUCUUCAUUCUCAGAAGAAGCCUCUUAUUAUUACUAUUAUCAUUAUUAUUUUAAUUGAAGGAUAGUCGAGUUACAAUGUUGUGUUAGUUUCAGAUAUACAGCAAAGAGCUUCAGAUAUAUAUUCUUUUUCAGAUUCUUUUCCCAUCUAGGUUAUUGUAGAACAUCGAGUUCAGUUCUCUGUGCUCUACAGUAGGGCCUUCGUGGUUAACUACUUUAUAUAUAGUAGUGUGCAUGUGUUAAUCCCAAACUCCUAAUUUAUCCCUCCCACUCCUUUCCCAUUUGGUAACCAUGCAUUUAUUUUCUGUGUGAGCCUGUUUCUGUUUUGUAAAUAAUUUCAUUCGUUUCUUUUUUUUAGGUUCUUCAUAUAAACAAUUUCACAUAUUUAUCUUUUUCUGUCUGACUUACUAGAAUAAGCCUCUUUAAAAAUAUUGCUUUAGGAGUUCCCGUUGUGGUUCAGUGGUUAAUGAACCUAACUAGUAUUCAUGAGGGUGGGUGUUUGAUCCCUGGCCUCGCUCAGUGGGUUAAGGAUCUGGUGUUGCCAUGAGCUGUGGUGUAGGUCACAGAUGCAGCUCCAAUCCUGUGUUGCUGUGGCUGUGACAUAGGCUGGCAGCUGCAGCUCUGAUUCGACCCCUAGCCUGGGAUUUCCAUAUGCAGCAGGUGUGGCCCUAAAAAG